CGCGUAGGCGGUUAAUUAAGUCAGAUGUGAAAGCCCAGGGCUCAACCUUGGAACUGCAUUUGAAACUGGUUGACUAGAGUUUUGUAGAGGGUGGUAGAAUUUCAGGUGUAGCGGUGAAAUGCGUAGAGAUCUGAAGGAAUACCAGUGGCGAAGGCGGCCACCUGGACAAAGACUGACGCUGAGGCGCGAAGGCGUGGGGAGCAAACAGGAUUAGAUACCCUGGUAGUCC
rnacentral:rRNA from 1 species